UGACUUGAUCGGAGACAUUAUCGAGUUCUUGAACGGGUUGUAGCUGGCCUUCCGAGGCAUGUGCACGCCCUGCUCAAUCCACUCUACACCUGUGCACUUACUGUAGGUUUCUUGGUUGCGUUGGGUCUCUCCUCUGUGGCUCGCGAAAGCCGAGAGGCUUAUGUCUUACAACAAACUAUAAAGUAAAUGAGUGUGUACCGCGCCUAAAGCAUCUAUAUACAACUUUUUCCAACGGAUCUCUUGUGUCUCGCAUCUAUGAAAAAAGCACCGAAAUGCGAUAAAUAUUGUGAAUUGUGCAAAUCUCUGAGUCUCCUAAUCUCUGAGCGCACCUUGUGCUCCCUGUGAUACCGAGAAGCGUGUGUGUGUGAGAGUCACGUGAUUCUCUAACUAUACGCCUUUUCUCAGAUCCUUGUGCAGGUUGUACAUGUAGAGUCACUGUCGCCACAGAUAUCUCCUAUCUCAUACGCAUUAUAUAGAUCUCGCGCAACGCGGCUCGCUGUGAGAAAUGUCUACACGUGUGCGCGUCGGAUAUAUAUACAAGCGUCUAUAAAGCGACUCUUGUGAGGCACAUAUCUUGAGAUCUGAGACUCAUCACGUAGAACUACACGGUGAUUAGCAUAUAUCAUACC
rnacentral:rRNA from 1 species